UCCCCCGUUACUGUUCAGAAGAUAAGUAAUAGGUAGGGAUGACAGGAUUUGAACCCGUGACAUUUUGUACC
rnacentral:tRNA from 1 species